GAAAUUUAUGUGAAAUUGUUUUUUUUCUACCUGUUUGAGUUUUUUACAAAACAUAAACUACGACAAUCGGCUAUUAUCUUUGAUUCUCUCUAUAAAAGUAUUGUCAAUAUAUUCAAAAUGGGAAACAGAAAUAAAAAAAAAAUCAUUGCGGACAAAGAAGGAGCAAAUCGAAUGCUAUUUAGCAUUCCUGAGAUGAAGUUCCACAAAAAUGAUCCCACGCGACACAAAAAGUUGGAUGAAAUGUGAAUAGAGCUUGCUCAGCAACUAAAUGCGUUGAAAGGAAAGAGUGUUUAAACCAUUGCACAGUGGUCUUAUAUGGAAUCAGCGGCCAAAAAUACUUCCACUGCAUAUAAAAAGUGAAACUUUUGCCAAAGCUUUUUAAAAUCUCCCUCUCCCGUUUCCCACUCUGCCACCCCCCGAUG